ACUAUGAUGAGCAAAAAACUAGGAGGUAAUUAAUAAUUGAGAAAUAAGACUUACUUUAUUCUAUCAGCGGUACUCCACAAACACCAUCCUUGCACUCCACUGCUCCACGAUUAGCCAAUGGGAACAUUUUAUAACAAUCCUCAUCAGUCUCACACUUUGUUUCGUAAGGUACUGUACAUUAAGAAUAAGGAAAUUUUACAAAAAUAAAUGAAAGAUUGUCUAUGAAAUAAACAAAAAAAAAUAUGAGAAUGAAUUUACCUUGACCAACGACAACAACCAUAAAAAGGGAAACAAAAAGGAUCAAAGUAUAAGCAAACUUAAGAAUUAGAGCCAUUUUUUUUUUUCACCUUUGCAUGUAAUAAAUGUAAACUGGUUUCAUCACUUUAUAUAGUAAUUAGUAAAAACCGUUUGUUAUGUUUAUACAUCAAUUGAGUAGUUUUUUAUGAUUAUUUUGUUGCUAUAAAUCAUUUUUUAAAAUUAGAAUAAUUAUUAAAUGUAUUUAAAAUACACUGAUGAAUAAUAUUUGUCCCUUUAGCUCAUUGAAUAUAUAUAUAUAUAUAUAUAUCACAAAAUAACUUUACUUGUAAUUAUAGAGUUCAUUUUUGUUUUAUCAACCUUUCGUUAUUAUUUAAUUUUAUUAUUUCUUGUCUAUCCUUUCAUUAUGAAGAGAGGAAAACCAAAAUUAUUUUAUAUAUUAGAGUUAGUGUAGACCCGCAUAUCUUGAAUGUCUCGUCUUGGACUUUUGUGGUUAAGUAAAAUAUGGUUAGAACGAGAGACCUCAUAUAAUAUUUUCACUAAAAUUCUCUUGUUGAGUGACAUAUGGUUAGCACGUCCCACACGCUCAUUAUGAUAUUGCUCGGGUAGCCAACCCUCGAGUAAACUUAAAAGUUAGAGCCAUUUUUUUUUCACCUUUGCAUGUAAUAAAUGUAAAUUGGUUUGAUCACUUUAUAUAGUAUUGAAAUAUGGCACGCAGUGAACAGAUGCUACGCAAGAUGCUAUAUCAAUUGUUGUAGCAACACUAGUGCAGAAAGGGGAUUCCACUACCGGCCAAAUAGGGAUUCCACUACUGGCCGUGGCCGGUAGUAAACACACUCGUCGUUGUAAG
rnacentral:lncRNA from 1 species